rnacentral:rRNA from 1 species
GGUGAAAGGGGGCGCAAGCUCUUGCUAUUAGAUGAGCCUAAAUCAGAUUAGCUAGUUGGUGGGGUAAAGGCCCACCAAGGCGACGAUCUGUAACUGGUCUGAGAGGAUGAUCAGUCACACCGGAACUGAGACACGGUCCGGACUCCUACGGGAGGCAGCAGUGGGGAAUAUUGGACAAUGGGGGCAACCCUGAUCCAGCCAUGCCGCGUGUGUGAAGAAGGCCUUUUGGUUGUAAAGCACUUUAAGCAGGGAGGAGAGGCUAAUGGUUAAUACCCAUUAGAUUAGACGUUACCUGCAGAAUAAGCACCGGCUAACUCUGUGCCAGCAGCCGCGGUAAUACAGAGGGUGCGAGCGUUAAUCGGAAUUACUGGGCGUAAAGCGAGUGUAGGUGGCUCAUUAAGUCACAUGUGAAAUCCCCGGGCUUAACCUGGGAACUGCAUGUGAUACUGGUGGUGCUAGAAUAUGUGAGAGGGAAGUAGAAUUCCAGGUGUAGCGGUGAAAUGCGUAG